rnacentral:rRNA from 1 species
CUUGGUGGCCAUACAGCGGUGGACCGACCCGAUCCCAUUCCGAACUCGGCCGUCAAACGCCGCAUGGCCGAUGGUAGUGUGGCGAUAGGCCACGCGAGAGUAGGUUGCUGCCAGGG